AUGCUCAAGUACUUAUUACCUCUUGGGUUGUAAUUGCUAUCUUAUUAAUUUCAACCAUUCUAGUUGUUAGAAAUCCGCAAACUAUUCCCACGUCUGGUCAGAAUUUUUUUGAAUAUGUCCUUGAAUUCAUUCGAGACGUGAGCAAAACUCAGAUUGGAGAAGAAUAUGGUCCAUGGGUUCCGUUUAUUGGAACUCUGUUUCUAUUUAUUUUUGUUUCGAAUUGGUCAGGGGCCCUUUUGCCUUGGAAAAUUAUAAAGUUACCUCAUGGAGAGUUAGCUGCACCCACAAAUGAUAUAAAUACUACUGUUGCAUUAGCUUUACUUACGUCAGUAGCCUAUUUCUAUGCGGGUAUUUCAAAAAAGGGAUUGGCCUAUUUUGGUAAAUACAUCCAACCAACGCCAAUCCUUUUACCGAUUAACAUCUUAGAAGAUUUCACAAAACCCUUAUCGCUUAGUUUUCGACUUUUUGGAAAUAUAUUAGCGGAUGAAUUAGUAGUUGUUGUUCUUGUUUCGUUAGUACCUUUAGUAGUUCCUAUACCUGUUAUGUUCCUUGGAUUAUUUACAAGUGGUAUUCAAGCUCUUAUUUUCGCUACUUUAGCUGCGGCGUAUAUAGGUGAAUCCAUGGAAGGGCAUCAUUGA
rnacentral:lncRNA from 1 species